rnacentral:rRNA from 1 species
UUAGGCGGUUAUUGCGGCGGUGUCCCACCUCUUCCCAUUCCGAACAGAGAAGUUAAGCCCGCUUGCGCC